ACUCCUACGGGAGGCAGCAGUGGGGAAUAUUGCACAAUGGGCGCAAGCCUGAUGCAGCCAUGCCGCGUGUAUGAAGAAGGCCUUCGGGUUGUAAAGUACUUUCAGCAGUGAGGAAGGUGGGUAUGUUAAUAGCAUACUCAUUUGACGUUAGCUGCAGAAGAAGCACCGGCUAACUCCGUGCCAGCAGCCGCGGUAAUACGGAGGGUGCGAGCGUUAAUCGGAAUUACUGGGCGUAAAGCGCAUGCAGGUGGUUUGUUAAGUCAGAUGUGAAAGCCCGGGGCUCAACCUCGGAAUUGCAUUUGAAACUGGCAAACUAGAGUACUGUAGGGGGGGGUAGAAUUUCAGGUGUAGCGGUGAAAUGCGUAGAGAUCUGAAGGAAUACCGGUGGCGAAGGCGGCCCCCUGGACAGAUACUGACACUCAGAUGCGAAAGCGUGGGGAGCAAACAGGAUUAGAUACCCUGGAGGUCUGC
rnacentral:rRNA from 1 species